AUCGAGUUAUCCUACCCCUUUUUUUCUUUUCUUCCAACCCUAAGCGGUAUCUCCGAAUCAAACCCCAAGUUUUCAUAAAUCAAACCCUGUUUCUCCAACUCUAAACCCUAGAUUUCUACUACAGGAUGCUGUUUUAUAAAAUAUGCAACUUCCGAGGAUGCUGAGAGGGCUAUUAGAGCUUUGCACACUUAACCUGGGGGACGGGACCUAUACAAGUUAGAUAUGUUGAUGGAGAAAGGGAGCGCCUUGAAGCAGUUGAGCACAAGUUGUUCGUUGGGUUUAUGAACAGACACAUUGCAGAGAAAGAGUUGGUUGCGGCAUCCAAAUAUAGUACAAUACUAUGGGACUGAGACGGUAAGUAUUCGGCUGAUGGUUUCAAAAAUAUCAUACUUGUAGACUUCUUGUGAUUUCCAUCUGAUGAAUAUUUGCUUACUAUCGUGACAUUAACUCUUCAUGAAUUGCAAUAUCACGUUGAUUCUAUCCUCCCAUAAACAUGCUUUCUUAUAACUAUUCAAUCUCAAAUAAGAGAUGAUUCCAUACUUACUCUGUGCUAUGACUUGUGACAUUUCUUCCAUUUUGAGGAAAUUAAAUGGCAGCUGAUGCCUUGAAGAUUUUUCCUUUUUUUUUUGUCAACUGAUGGUCUAAUAUGUUUUUCUGGAAGAGGUAGAUGAUAGGCUUUUUAUCUAUGUGGAAUAUAUAUCUGGUGGCUCCAUCUAUAAGCUCCUUCAAGACUAUGGGCAGUUUGGUGAACUAGCAAUACGUAGCUAUACCCAACAAAUUCUUUCAGGGCUUGCUUAUUUGCAUGCAAAGAAUACAGUUCACAGGUACUCUCUUCUCAUUUUAAAACAUUGAGGGUAAUAAUGAUGUGGACUGUGGUGUCUAAUUUAUGUAAGUAAUGCAAUCCUUCUGGUUGAUGUCCUUAUUGCUGGCAAGACAACUGGAGAUAUAAAUAUAAAUGUUAUGAGGAAGCAGUUCUAUUUAGUUCAACUCGGAUCCUUAUAGCCAUUGGAGCUGGAGGUCAAAGAAACUCAUUACAUGAUCGGUGCUAUGGAUGGUUUUGGAAGUACCUUAGGUUUGGAGUUCUAAUCCUGCUCGUAAGGUGAGCAGCUCUAAAACCCCAGUUUGAAAGAGUUUUUGCAAGCGAAGGAUGUGACCAAUCGUUUCGUCAUAUGGAUAUUCGAAUCUAGUAGAUGACAAGAAAAUCCAGCAAUCUAUUUCUUUGUUUGUUGUUGCUUGAUUUGGAUCAGGUUCAUAUUUUUUGCAUGUAACAUCUCACAAAUCAAAUCAGUUUCAUUGAUAGAAGAUUUCGUGUGCAACCAGAACUGAUUUUAGUCAGAAUUCAAACUGAUAUAGGCUGAUUGAUAUAGCUUUUGCAUCUGUUCUUCUAUUUUCUAAUCAAGUGCUGAUUGUUUCUUGAUAUGUAACUUGUUCUUCAUCAUCUCCGCCUGCAAUUUCCGGUGUUUGUACUUAA